rfam:Bombyx mori DNA, contig: Bm_scaf45_contig24666, strain: p50T/Dazao, build 2, whole genome shotgun sequence.
UUAACUCAAAUUUAUAUGGGGUUGGAACGCUUGCCUACGUUUGCUAGGGCCGCUGUUCCAAAUCCAUACAGAUUUGAGUUA